rnacentral:rRNA from 1 species
AGAGAGAAGCUUGCUUCCUCUUGAGAGCGGCGGACGGGUGAGUAAUGCCUAGGAAUCUGCCUGGUAGUGGGGGAUAACGUUCGGAAACGGACGCUAAUACCGCAUACGUCCUACGGGAGAAAGCAGGGGACCUUCGGGCCUUGCGCUAUCAGAUGAGCCUAGGUCGGAUUAGCUAGUUGGUGAGGUAAUGGCUCACCAAGGCGACGAUCCGUAACUGGUCUGAGAGGAUGAUCAGUCACACUGGAACUGAGACACGGUCCAGACUCCUACGGGAGGCAGCAGUGGGGAAUAUUGGACAAUGGGCGAAAGCCUGAUCCAGCCAUGCCGCGUGUGUGAAGAAGGUCUUCGGAUUGUAAAGCACUUUAAGUUGGGAGGAAGGGCAGUUACCUAAUACGUGAUUGUUUUGACGUUACCGACAGAAUAAGCACCGGCUAACUCUGUGCCAGCAGCCGCGGUAAUACAGAGGGUGCAAGCGUUAAUCGGAAUUACUGGGCGUAAAGCGCGCGUAGGUGGUUCGUUAAGUUGGAUGUGAAAUCCCCGGGCUCAACCUGGGAACUGCAUUCAAAACUGACUGACUAGAGUAUGGUAGAGGGUGGGUGGAAUUUCCUGUGUAGCGGUGAAAUGCGUAGAUAUAGGAAGGAACACCAGUGGCGAAGGCGACCACCUGGACUGAUACUGACACUGAGGUGCGAAAGCGUGGGGAGCAAAC